UACGUAGGGUGCGAGCGUUAAUCGGAAUUACUGGGCGUAAAGCGUGCGCAGGCGGUGCGCCAAGCUCGAUGUGAAAGCCCCGGGCUUAACCUGGGAAUUGCAUUGAGGACUGGCGUGCUCGAGUGCGGCAGAGGGGGGUGGAAUUCCACGUGUAGCAGUGAAAUGCGUAGAGAUGUGGAGGAACGCCGAUGGCGAAGGCAGCCCCCUGGGCCGACACUGACGCUCAUGCACGAAAGCGUGGGGAGCAAACAGG
rnacentral:rRNA from 1 species